UUCUUCGAGCGAUUUACUUAUACGAACACAAAUUGGGAACCAGUUCAAGGGAAACAGCAAAUAAGAUUAACAGUGCUUUUGGCCCAAACACUACUACCGAUCGCACAGUACGAAAUUGGUUCCAGCGCUUUGAUGAAGGAGAUACAAGUCUAAAGACAUUCCUCAAACUGGUCGCCCCGUCACUUUUGACGAAGUGGCAUUGCGGCGCGAGCUUGAGUUGCAUCCGGAUUCCACCACCAAAGAUUUAGAUCUACAAUCCAUGGGUUACCGUAGAGUUUUGUCAAGAUGGACGCCUCAUGCUUUGACCGAUGCUCAACGUGAAGUACGUGUUAGCAUUUGUGAAAGUCUGCUGCUGCGUCCCAAAAAAAGAACUUCUUGAAGUCGAUCAUCACUGGAGAUGAAUCCUGGAUCUUGUACGAGAACGUCACACGAAAAGCCUUUUGGAUAUCUGCCGAUAAACGGACACCAACACAGCCGAAAAGCAGUACGCAACUACGCAUGGUCGGAAAUUUCUCCUGUCAGUCUUCUGGGAUUCGCAAGGAAUGUUGUUUUGGGAGUUACUGGAGGAUAACCAGACUAUUGACGCCGAAGUCUACGUGAAUCACCUAAAGAAUUUGGCGAUCGCUGUUGAAGAAAAACGGCCAAAACGUCUUGAAGUGUCAUUACUUCAUGAUAAUGCAAGACCACAUGUUGCGAAGAGGACCCGUAAAUUUCUAGAGGAGCUCGGUUGGACAACGAUACCUCACCCACCCUUAUAGCCCUGAUUUGGCACCUUCCGACAAUCAAUCACCUUUUCCGGGCUUUAAAACAGCACCUUCGUAAAAAGAAAUUCGAAUAUUCCGGUGACCUAAAUUAUCACCUUGCUAAUUUUUUUGCCUCUCAGUCACUUUCUUUCUGGGCUAAUAAGGGUAUUGAAACUUUGCCUAGCAGAUGGCUACAUGUUCUAGAUAAUAAUGGUGAUUAUAUUGUCGAUUAACUGUUUCAAUAAAUAGAUAUUACAAAAUAAUUUAGUCGCAUUUAAAAGUGGGAAAAUAAUUAUGCAACAACCUAAUAUUUCAAAAUUUCUCGCAAUGACUAACAGCCUCAUUUGUGUCGCUUAACUUCAAACUCUGCUAAAUCCGUUUUGCUAACAGUUGAUUAUCUAUAUUGUUAAUAAAAAAUAUUAUAUUUUUAAUUGAACAAACCGAUUAGUUAAACUUUGAUAAUAAAAUUAUCUUUCCCAUUACGGCACAAUGGUUUCGCACCUUUAGGAGGCGUGUGUAAAGCCGAACCCUUCACGUAGUGAUCUGUUUUCAAAUCAAACAUUCAUUUCGAACUGUUAAGCCGUUUUGACACGUUGAUUAAAUUUCAUUUCAUUUCAUUAAAGACUACGUAAAAUCAACUUUGCUAUUGGACUAUAGUAUUUUAUGCAACUAGUGUUUACCAGAGAUAAAAAAAAGGUGGGUGACAAUUGAGGCGAAGCCGAAGACGCCGCGAGUAUUUUUUGACUCGGUUAACACCGUUGCAUACUAACAAUUCAAUAGGUGGGUUUUCUACGACCAUGCACUAGUUUUUAAUAGUUUUCUAGUAACUAUCCCAGCGCUCGAGCCAGCUGCCCAAAGCCAUCCCCCGCCGGCUUCCCACGCGCGCAGUAACUUAAUAACAAUGCGUUGCCGUGGUUACAGAGCCAAACCAUGCUUUUUCAAUUUUUUCGUUACUGCGCGCAUGCGCGGGAAGCUGGCGGGGGUGGCUUUGGGGAAUAUGUUUUUAUGUAGGGUUUUAAAGAUCUAUGCACGACCCUGUAAAUGACGAAUAACAGACUAAAAGACUGUGGGAUAACAAACCGAACGCCUGCCUAAUGAAACGGUGUCCAAUUUAUUUUAGGCCGACGGUGACUUGCCCCAAAUGAUCUUAUUAUUAUUAAGUUCUUUAAAUAUUAGGUACUGAUUUUAGCUUUCUUGGUUUUGUAAUAUUUGCUAACUUGUGAUAUGUUUUCGUGCUAUUAUUUAUUUAUUAACCAUAUCACUAGUGCAGUUUGAAUUUAUUUUCUUUUAAAUUCAUUAUACACGCCAGCCGCUAAAUUUCACCAUGCAACACACUUAAUCGUCUCAAAAUACAUGUAUGUUUAUUAAUGUACAAUAAAUAUAAUAAUGUGCAAUAAUCAAUUUUGUGAUAACAGUUCCAUUAUGAGUAAUUGUGACUUACUUACCUUAAUAUAAAACAAUGUUGCCGCGAUUUACCAGAGGACUAGCCAAGAUGACAAUAAUGCGUCAACGAACAACCUGAUGUGCAAUAUGCUACGCAAAGUCCAAGAACAAUUUCUUUAAAGGUAUAUGUACUUUUACAUGUUUGUCCAUAUGUGAGAGUUCCCACUUUAUCGAUUGCUAUAAAGCCGCUUUGCCAGUUUAUUCAUAUAAAGAUACAACUCAUACAAGUAAAUCUCGCCUUAAUGGUAACCGACAAAGUGGGACGUUUGACUAAACACACUCACAUAUUAUGAUCAUCACGAAUUAAUGUAUUAACUCUUUCUCUUUCAUAUGUUUCAUAAUCAUCUUGUGGCUCUUGGCCCCCAGUAAUACCUAUUAAUUGUAUCAUAUUCUAUUGUUUUAGGGCUCACUUACAAUCACUAUCAGCCGCUGUUACUUUUUUGUAUGUAACUGAUAGGUCGAUAGUCAAUUAACCCCUUUACCCAACUUUUGGAAGACUAUACCUAUCCAAUAAUUUUAAACAAUAUAAAAGUAACUUUCUAGUCACAUAAGACAUGAGACUCUUAAUGAAUAUCAUUGUGAAUUUUUUUAGAACCCGUUUAUUAUCUGUAAGAAUAAUUUUGGUGCUUUUUAAUUUGUGUAUAUUUGUACAAGGGCUACCUUUUUUGUAUAAUAUAUUAAAUAGUUUAGAAUUUACUGAAGAAUCAAUAAUAUAUGGCUUGCCACCAGAGAAGGAUCCUUAAGCUCCGUGUGUAUGAAAGAUCCACCUCUGCUUGAAAGCCACGUGUGUGAUUUAAUUUCAGCUAGUAUGUAAGUUUUAACUGUUCAAAACGAACAUAUAAAUAUACAAGAUGAAAAUUUAUAUUGUGCCAAAUACCAAAUACAUACGGAUAAUAAUUAUACUUAUAUAAAAACGUUGAUGGCUAAAGCACAAAAAAUAUAUUUAAAUACGGCAGCAUCAUAAAUAUUCGCGAUUGUUGAGCCAUUUAUGGUCCUAUCAAAUUGGCAAUUAAGUAUGUACGCCACUUUAGAUAGAACUCUAAAUGGCUCAACAACCAUGGAACGUGAUUACAACGUUCACUCGGUACCUAAGCAUACUAACUAGAAUAUCAAUAUCACAACAUAUUUGUAUUAUUUGGUCGUAAAAGAGGCAAUGAAAACUGAUAACUCGUUUCGCCAUUAUUUUAGAUUUUUUUGAGAACUAACAUUUCUCCGUGCAUGCGGUGUUGUAUUGAUACUAUCAGUUUCCAGGCCUCUGGCUAUUGCUAAAUACAAUAGCACAUGAGUAUGUAAUCAAUAAGUUUUGUGUGUCAAGAAUAUAAUGUACUUAAUUUUAUUUAAGUAGGUAUACAUCUUUCUGGGACGUACGGAUGCGAGUGAAAUCAUUUUGCCAAAGAACACUCGCUGAUAAUAUUUUUAGAUUUUUAAUAUGAAUUAAUGAAUGUAGCUAUGUUUCAAUAUUAUAUACGUAGACUCGUAUAACAGUAUAUAGUUGUAUAGCUUUAAUGAAUAUUAUCAUUACAUGUACGAAUACAAAGAUUGAAUAAAUAUUUAUGCAAUGAUAUUAAA